GUCUACAGCUAUGCCACGCUGAAUGUGCCCAACCUCGUCUGAUCUCAGAAGCUAAGCAGGGUGGGGCCUGGUUAGUGCCUGGAUAGAGGGGAGGAAAGAGAUAAACAAUAGGGAAUGGAGAUU
rnacentral:rRNA from 1 species